UACGGAGGGGGCUAGCGUUGUUCGGAAUUACUGGGCGUAAAGCGCACGUAGGCGGCUUUGUAAGUUAGAGGUGAAAGCCCAGGGCUUAACCCUGGAAUUGCCUUUAAGACUGCAUCGCUAGAAUUGUGGAGAGGUAAGUGGAAUUCCGAGUGUAGAGGUGAAAUUCGUAGAUAUUCGGAAGAACACCAGUGGCGAAGGCGACUUACUGGACACAUAUUGACGCUGAGGUGCGAAAGCGUGGGGAGCGAACCGG
rnacentral:rRNA from 1 species